CGUCCGGUCGCUUGCUUGGGCACUAGGGCAUUUCUCUCGCGUAGACGCCGUUUGUCACUUUGCUCGCAAAUUCGGGGGGAAAUCUGUUCCCCUUUUCACUGGCAUUUACAGCGCUCGAGCUCGCUCGAGAAGCACCGAUUCUCUGGCGUUCUUGCUUCGCUUCGGAUUCCUCCGCCUGCCUCGAUCAUUUCCCCCUUGGAAGGGUGCACCGAGUCAGGCUACAAGGUUUUUUGUCUGAAAAUCGAGUUCGACGGCUUCCUUCUUGCGAGCUGGACGGUGGGAUGAAUAUGUCUUUCUCAGUGCAUUUCUUUUCUUGAGUUUGCAGCCAUACUUGCCAUACUUGAUGAUGCCUUUUUCGUUUGGUUUAAGGGAAAGUAUCUUAAGGAAUCUUUGGAUUUUCAUUUAUCAUUGUAAACAUUAUGUCCGCUUAAUUUGCUAAAAAGAGAACGAUCGAUUGAGAAAGGUAAUGCAGUUUUGAAUGAGCUGAGCUAGGUGGCAGAAGAGAGUAUCAGUCUAUUUGGUGGGGAGAUCAUUCUACAUAAAAUUAGGCAGAUUAUGAAAAUCUGACUGUAGGUUGAUUACCUCAGUUAACAUGGGGUUUGACAACGAAUGCAUUUUGAACAUCCAAUCUCUAGCUGGAGAGUACUUCUGCCCUGUUUGUCGUUUGCUUGUAUACCCAAAUGAAGCUCUGCAGUCACAGUGUACUCACCUGUACUGUAAACCAUGUCUGGCAUACAUCGCCAGCAGUACUAAAGCUUGUCCUUAUGAUGGCUAUCUGGUUACUGAGGCAGAUUCAAAGCUGCUCAUAGAUUCAAAUAAAGCAUUGGCUGAGACUAUCAGCAAAAUACCAGUGCAUUGUCUCUAUCACAGGAGUGGAUGCACAUGGCAAGGUCCACUUUCUGAGUGUGUCACUCAUUGUGCUGGAUGUGCUUUUGGCAAUUCUCCUGUUGUGUGCAACAGGUGUGGAAUUCAGAUUGUGCAUCGUCAAGUCCAGGAACAUGCACAGAGUUGCCCUGGUGUGCAUCCUCAAGUGCAGCCAGCAGAGGGUUCUCAAGAGGCUCCUGGUACAAAUACUACUACUGCUGGCCAGGGCCAGAGUACUAAUCAGGCUGGGACCGCAAGUUCUCAGGCUUCUGAGGCUCAGACUUCUCAAACUGCUACACCUGCAACAUCAGCACAACAGGUCCAAAGUGUCGAUCAGGCUGCUAUUCUGACUCCAGAGCAAUGGUAUCAGCACCAACAGCAACAUUAUAAUCAGUAUUAUCAACAGUAUAUCGGAUUUGAUCCAUAUCAACAGCAGUAUCAGCAGUACUAUCCAUAUCAGCAGCCGGCCAUCCUGCAACCCCAGCCGUAUGCCCAGCCCCCGGCCCAGCCCCAGCCCCCACCCCAGCCCCAGUCCCAAUCCCAACCACAGGCCCUGCCCCAACCGCAGGUCCAGCCCCAGCCCCAACCCCUACCUCAGCCUCAUACACAGCCCAAGGGUCAGCCUCAGGCCCAAACUCAAGUCCAGCCUCAGGUCUAUGGACAGCUGCAGCUGCAACUGCAACCACAUGCCCAAUCUGCUGCAGUUGCCCAAUCUCAGAAUCCGCAGCAGCAACUUCAACCAAACAUGCCAUUGCAAUCACAAGUUCAGGCUCAGGUUCAGCCAUCUCAGGCUUUGCUGUAUCCUCAAUCCCAAUCCCAACCACAACCCCAAUACCCCAUUCUAUCUCAUUCACAGCCACAUGCGCAGGUGCCUCAGCAUCAGCAACCGCAAGUGCAGGCACAGUAUCCCCAUCCACAGACUCAACCUCAGGCGCCUCCCCAGCUCCAGCUUCAACAUAGACCUGUUGCUCAAGUUCAACAGCAUUUACCAACUCAACCUGGGUCACUGGUUCCACCUCCUUCCCAGGCUCACCCCCAUCCUCAGGUAAUUCAGGGGCAGUCUCAAACACAGCAUCCAUCGGUUCAGGCGGUAACUGGUUAUCAGUCUUAUCCACAAACUCAGCCUCUACCACAAGCUCCCCAGCAGCACAUCAUGAAUGUUCGUCCUCACCAACAGGCUCAGCAGUUUAAUCAAAUGCAGGGUCAGUUUCCUCAACCUUCUCCCCAUAUGAAUCCAGCUCCUCAAGUUGCAGCUCCAAACCAACAGCAACAACCAGCUCUGUUGCCUUCACCUGCUCAAAACUUGAGCAUUCCUCCUGGUCAGCAGCAGCAGGGCAUUUACUCCCAUACUCAACAACCAGGACAUCCAGUCCCACAGCGAGCAGUCAUCCCACCGUUUCAACCGCUGAUGCCUCAACAAUAUCCAACUCAGCAGCCUUCUUCUGGAGGACAACCUGGAUCCGCACAUCAAGGUACUUUUGUUCAGCAGCAGCAGGUGCAGUCGCACUUGCGCCCUCAUGGUCCUCUUCAUUCAUUUCAACCACAGUUCCCAACCCAUCCGCAGCCACAGCAGAGUGUUGGGAGGCCAACCUUUCCAAAUCAGGGGAUCCCAUCACAAUUCUAUCCUCAGUCGGGUGUUCCAGACCAGGUUAAGUCAACACAGGCUGGUUUCAACCACAAUAACUUGGUUAGUACCCAUAAUCAAGUGCAAUUCUCUUUGGAGCAACAGCCUGGGGCAAGUGUGAGCGAGCAGCGACCUGAUCUACUGCCUCGGACGGGUGGUAAAAAGGAUGUAGUGUCAUCUUCUGGAACUGAUUCUAGUGAGAUGAAGAUGGUGAGAUCUGAAACUGAGGCAAAGCAUCUGGAUAAUGAUCACAAGGCUAUAGGGGAACCUGGUGAGUCUAACUAUGCAGAUACAUCCACUCAUGAGAUUCUAUCUGAAGCGCCAGCAUCAAAUGAUGCAGAGCAUUCUGUAAAGCGGAAGGUGAAGGGAGAAACCACAGAAAAUAUGAUGGAGCCUUCCCAUGGAAAAGGUGCGAUUUUUGUGGGAGAUCAGAAAGACGGUUCUGGUAUUGGCUUCAUAUCAGGGGAGAAUGUGGCACGAGAAGAAAAGGGAAAUGUGGAUAGCUCAUCAAGGAGAAAUUCUCUGGUGCAAGAAACUGGUUUGCAGAAGAACUCCAACUUGGUGCUACAACGUUCCGGCAGCGAUGGAAAAAUUGUACCACAGUCUGGUCUGCAAGACAGAAACUUGCCUCAGCCUCAUGUUACUGCUUUUGCUCAUGGGCAUGAUGGUCCUCGAGGUUUCCCUCCUCCUGGAAAUGUUCAGACUGGCGGUAGUUUGCAGUCUUCUCAUCCAAAUCAGGUUGUUGAUCAACGUAGGCAUCAAGCUCCACUGCCCCCUCAUGGAUCAUCCUUUCAACAUAGGCCUUCUGCACCUCCGAUGUUGCAACAGCCUCCACUUGGACCUCCACAACACCCACCAAUGCCAGGGCACUCUGUAUCUCAUCAUGGCCCUCCCAGCUUUGGUAAUUUACCGCCUGGUCAAGGCCCUAUAGCAUCCUUUGGAAGAGGUCAAGGGCAAUUUGGCGCCCAGUCAGUUCUUCCACAAGGUAUUUAUAAUCAAGGCCCUCCUGGCUUUGGACCUGCAGGUGGAAUAGCUCAUAAGCAACCUAACAAUUUACUUGAGGCUGAAAACUAUCCAAACCAGAGGCCUGUCUUCAUGGAUGGUAGACAAACUGACAGUAAUCUUCCGAGGAACAUGGAACGUGUAUUUGGACAUCCUUCAGAAAUCCAAUCAAACUUGUCGAGAAUGGGCCAUCCUUCUGGAUUUGACUCUGCAUUGAAGUCCUUGCCUGAUGAACGGUUCAAUCCCCCAUCUAUGGAUCCAUCUCGUCGUGGUUUUGACCGUGGACCUUUUGAAGAAGAUACUAGGGGAUUUCGUGGACCAUAUCAUCCGGAUGCUGAGGCUGUGCAAAAAUAUGGGGGGCGCUUUUCCUCUGGAAGUCCUUUUAAUAAAGAUCCUCUUGACAAAGAAUUUCAUGGAUUUAAUCCUGACAAUGCACCGAAGUAUGCAGCUGCCUCAUCAAGGAACUUCCAAUCAUAUGAUCGUACUGGUGUACUUGGUGAAAGAGCAUUAGGUCAUCCUGAAGAUAACCCUGGGAGAUUAGGUUCUUCUUUUGGUCGUGAAGUUUAUGAAUCACUGCCAAGUUACAGUCAACGUCAUAAGGAUGGUUUGACCCAUCGAAGCCCCGGUGGAGAAUAUUCUGGCAUCCCUUCACGUGGAUUUGAAGGCCUUCCAGGUGUCCAACGAAAUCCUCCUGAUGACAAUGGUAGAAGGGAGCCACGUUUAUAUGGUGCUGGCAGUUCAUUCCCGGAAGGUAGGUUUCCAGCUUUGCCAAACCAGUUUCAUAAGAGUCAGUUUGAGGACACAAGGAAUCUAAGGAUGGGCGAGCAUUUGAGGAAUGGCGGUCUGGGUGGUGAUGAUUUUAUACGCAAAGGCGAUACUUUUGGCUCUCAUGACCUGCCUAUGCAAAUGCGGAUGGGUGAGCCUGGUGGUUUGGGCACCUUCCACAGCCAUACUCGUGUAGGAGAACCAGUUGGGCUUGAGUCAAUUCGAGGCAGCAGGUUUGGUCAUCCAAGAUUUGGUGAGACUGGAUUCAGAAGCAGCUUUCCCCUCCAAGGACACCCUAAUGAUGGAAAGUAUACAGGUGACUUGGAGUCUUUUGAAAACUCAAGAAAGAGAAAGGCAGCAAGUAUGGGCUGGUGUCGGAUUUGUAAAGUGGAUUGUGAAACAGUUGAAGGUCUGGACCUGCAUUCACAAACAAGGGAGCACCAGAAAAUAGCUAUGGACAUGGUUCGAAGCAUUAAGCAGCAGAAUGCCAAGAAACAGAAAAUAAGUUCCAGUGAUCGAUCCUCAGUCGACGAUUCAAGCAAGUUGAAGAAUGCCAAUAUUGAGGGUCAAGAAAACAAGCAUAAAAAAGAACAUCCAAUUCAGGGGACUAAUUUCAGCUGAAGAUGCUAGCAAGAUGAAAAAUGCUGGUUUUGAGGAUGGAGAGAACAAGCAUUAAAUUUGGCUGUGCGCUGCACUGUUGAUUGCCAUGACCUGUUUUUCUUGGUAUCUAUGACUUAGAAAUCUAGUUUUCUUUCUAUGGGCUAUUGUGGACUUGAAAUUCUGCUUCUUCCUUGUGUUUUUGACCAGGUUCGUGUUUCCCCUGAAUUUUGCAAGAACAUUCUGAUUAUUCUUUUUUAUAUCAAAUCUAUAUUUGCACUAGCCAUUUCUUUUUAUCAUCUAAGUGUUUUGAUAUCGCUAUAAACAAAUAAAUUUUCUUGCUGAGUGCUAACAGCUCACCAAAUGGCAUGCUUAGUCCAUCCAGUAAGAGAGUGUCUUGUGAUUGAUAAGAACCAUGUUAGCUCAUAGAUUUGGUUGUCAUAUCAUUUUUGUACUGGACUGGAGGGCUCCUGAGUUUUCUUCAUCUUGAUGAUUAUUCUACCAAUUAGUAGUUUAGAGGGCUAUUAGGUGAGAGUUGGAUUUGUUAUUAAGCUAGGGGCGCACUUUUAUGUGAUAGUUUAAUCAUAGUGGUGGUACGCUUUAGAACUUUAGUGGACUUGGCCAAAUAUGUGAAAUUAUUUCCCGUGGUUUUUGUUGUUCAGAUGUCUUUAUGGUCGUUCUCAGUAAAUUUAAUUACCUUUUUAACUACUACUUGUAUUGGCAUUGUUGUUUUGCGCUGAGGAUGCAAUACCUGCAGCCAUGUGUUAAGUGCUUAUUUUUCUUGCUUUGGAAGAGUUGGUGCCAUACACAAUCUGGUGAUUUCUGGUUUGAUUAGAACUGAAUGCUUUUAGAAAUUCUGGGUCCAUUCUGAGGGACAAUCAAGGAAAUUUUGGGGCUAGAAUGCAACCGGCUAGGAAGUUGGAGGCACAUGUCUGGCGCACCUAUUAGUUCUUCGGACUUAUUGGACUUUUAUCGAGGGAAACUUGUCAAGGACCACUUUGUUAUCUUGAGGUCUUUCUUUUGUUUACUGUAGUUCAAUUUGUAUUUGACCUUGGUAUGCAUGUAUAGAUUUUUUAUUUGAUAUCCUUUUGCCUGAGCAUUUCCUUGUGUGAAAAACUGUGGCUCUAGUUGAGGUGCGACUCAACUUUAAGCAAUCCCGCCACCCUUUUUGAUUUUUGUGAGCAAGAAUAGGAAGAUCAUGGACUAAAUUGAGGACUUAAACGCAGGUAUCAGAAUGUAGUUUUUUGUGGGUUCGGUAUUAUUGUAGAGUAUAAAAGGAUAUCACUAAUAUGCAGUGGACUCGAUCUAUCUCCAUUUGACAGCCUUAGAUAAGCCAUCUAGUCAUCGUAUAUAUGUAUAUUAGACAUGGAGGAAUGAUUUGGCUGUGGAGGGAGAGUGCCAGUCAUACUGCUUUCGGUUUCCUAAGGCAUUGCUAAGGCACAGAGUGUGCAAAGUUUGGAUUUUCCUUAUCGUGUCUUGAUUUUGGUUGAAUCUUCCUCUUUUGGAUGGUAUUUCCUCACAAGAAGUUUUGGGCCCUUUCACGUGGAUGGAUUGGAAAGUAGUCCGAAAUACGAAGAAAAUUCACACCAAAGGAUCUGACGUCUUUACAUUGCUUGCAUUUCUCAAUUAUCCUGACCCAUGCUAAAAGAGACGCCUGAAUUUCCUUUGUAGGUAGCUUAUUUAACGUGAACAUUAUGCUCUCUUCUGUUUUCCCUAGCUGAUGCGAUCGUAAAGGUUUUCUACUUUUUCAAGGAAUGCUUCUAAAAUUUCGAUGUUGAGCGAAAGCUUUUUACACCCUUUACUGUCUGUUAGGUUGGUUUUUCACUCUUGGAUAAUGAUCCCCUUUUCGGUUUUGCAUUAAUUCUCUUUUUCUUUUGUUGAUUGUCCUUUUCAUUACUUUGGGUGUCAUGUUGUGAAAUAGAUUCUGUCUUUACCCUUUCUAUUGAGCUUGAGAUGUUCUGAGGUUUCCAUCCUGUGGCGAUCUGCGCGUGACCCAAAGCCAGUCUCCACUGCCAAGGUGGGAGCAAGGAAAAGAAGAUGAUGAGCACCGACAGCGCGAUGAAGGAAAGGAGGACAAGGAAGAAAGAAUGUGAAUUAAGGGAAUAGUGUUACUUUCACUGUUGGGAAUAGUGUUAAUUUCACUGUUAAAUCGUUCCAUUGUUGAGCCCUAUGAGCAUGAUAGACUGGACAUGCCAAGGAAUAUUAAAAUGUCGAAUGCUUCGAGUUCGAUACCAGUGUGAAGUGCUCAAUGCUUUUUGUACCA